rnacentral:rRNA from 1 species
AGCGGAGGGAUCAUUACAGAGUUACCUAACUCCAAACCCAUGUGAACUUACCUAUGUUGCCUCGGCGGGGAAGCCUACCCGGUACCUACCCUGUAGCUACCCGGGAGCGAGCUACCCUGUAGCCCGCUGCAGGCCUACCCGCCGGCGGACACUUAAACUCUUGUUUUUUAGUGAUUAUCUGAGUGUUUAUACUUAAUAAGUUAAAACUUUCAACAACGGAUCUCUUGGUUCUGGCAUCGAUGAAGAACGCAGCGAAAUGCGAUAAGUAAUGUGAAUUGCAGAAUUCAGUGAAUCAUCGAAUCUUUGAACGCACAUUGCGCCCAUUAGUAUUCUAGUGGGCAUGCCUGUUCGAGCGUCAUUUCAACCCUCAAGCCCUAGCUGCUUGGUGUUGGGAGCCUAUCUCCGGAUAACUCCUCAAAAGCAUUGGCGGAGUCGCGGUGACCCCAAGCGUAGUAAUUUUUCCUCGCUUUAGGUGUUCACGGCUGACGUCCUGCCGUUAAACCCCCAAUUUUUUAAUGGUUGACCUCUGGAUCAG